rnacentral:ncRNA from 1 species
ACCAUCCUUUUCUUGGAGUUGCACCACUGUCCAAUGAGCACGUAGUGAAGGCAGUAUUGCUAAUGCUUACUCAACACGCCUGCAACUAGAACUUUGCUUUAUCUUGGUAUAAUUUUUGGAAAA